UGAAAAUCAUGGUCUUCUCUCAAGUAAGUUGAAAAUCGUGCUCUUCAAUCAAGGAGGACCUCCUCUGCUUCUUCAUCCUCAUUCAUUGUCUUCAUCCUCAUGUACUUCUCUUAUGUAAAGAGAGCACGAGAAGGUUGGGAAAGAAAAUGAGGAAAGAGUAGCCUCAAUUAGUAGUGGUUCUCAUAAUGGUGAUGCAAAGGGAAAAGACAUAGGCUAAGUUGACACCACCUACUAAAGCCUUUUUGUAAGAAUUGGUGUAAUGAAUUUGAGUAUAAUAGUAGUGGUUUGUAUAUAAGUUGCCACAGGAACCACACUUGUGCAUAAACAUGUGAAUUGUGUGUAUAUGUAUGACUUUGAGUUCUAGCCCACUAAAUUUGAGUAUAUGUGUGUAUAUAGUGAAAUUUUGUUAUGGGCUAGUGGAUAUGUUCAUGAAUAUGUUUUGUGCGUGUAUUGAGGAGUUUGGCCUUGUAUGGAAAUGAGUGUGAAGAAAAUGUGAAUUUUGCCUAAAA